AUUGAACGCUGGCGGCAUGCUUUACACAUGCAAGUCGAACGGUAGAGGGGGCAACCCCUUGAGAGUGGCUAACGGGUGAGUAAUGCAUCGGAACGUGCCCAGUAGUGGGGGAUAGCCCGGCGACAGCCGGAUUAAUACCGCAUACGACCUUAGGGGGAAAGCGCGGGAUAGCAAGACACCGCGCUAUUGGAGCGGCAGGUGUCAGAUUAGGGAGUUGGUGAGGUAAAGGCCUACCAAGCCGACGAUCUGUAGCUGGUCUGAGAGGACGACCAGCCACACUGGGACUGAGACACGGCCCAGACUCCUACGGGAGGCAGCAGUGGGGAAUUUUGGACAAUGGGCGCAAGCCUGAUCCAGCCAUGCCGCGUGCGGGAAGAAGGCCUUCGGGUUGUAAACCGCUUUUGUCAGGGAAGAAAUCUUCUGGGCUAAUACCCUGGGAGGAUGACGGUACCUGAAGAAUAAGCACCGGCUAACUACGUGCCAGCAGCCGCCGUAA
rnacentral:rRNA from 1 species